rnacentral:rRNA from 1 species
AACGAACGCUGGCGGCAUGCCUAACACAUGCAAGUCGAACGAGAUCUUCGGGUGGGAGUGGCAGACGGGUGAGUAACACGUGGGAACGUACCCUUUGGUUCGGGACAACUCUGGGAAACUGGAGCUAAUACCGGAUACGCCCUUUUGGGGAAAGGUUUACUGCCGAAGGAUCGGCCCGCGUCUGAUUAGCUAGUUGGUGGGGUAACGGCCUACCAAGGCGACGAUCAGUAGCUGGUCUGAGAGGAUGAUCAGCCACACUGGGACUGAGACACGGCCCAGACUCCUACGGGAGGCAGUAGUGGGGAAUAUUGGACAAUGGGCGCAAGCCUGAUCCAGCCAUGCCGCGUGAGUGAUGAAGGCCUUAGGGUUGUAAAGCUCUUUUAUCCGGGACGAUAAUGACGGUACCGGAGGAAUAAGCCCCGGCUAACUUCGUGCCAGCCGCCGCUGUAA